rnacentral:lncRNA from 1 species
GGACAAAAUCAUUUGCUACUCACUUAAAAUACAUAUCAAGCUCUUAUUUCUUGCAUUAACAAAAUUUUGCAUCUAAAAUUACAGAACAACAAAUAAAUUAGUGGUUUUCUGUUUUUAAAGUUUUAUCUCCAAACGUGUUAAAAGAUUAAUCCUUUGAAAAUUAGUAAAUCAGUUAAGUUAAAAUUAUAUUUUAAAUACAAAAAAAUUUUAAACAAUGAAUAAUUUAUUUAAUUUUUCCUCAAAAUUUAGAUA